CCUACGGGAGGCAGCAGUGGGGAAUUUUGGACAAUGGGCGCAAGCCUGAUCCAGCAAUGCCGCGUGAGUGAAGAAGGCCUUCGGGUUGUAAAGCUCUUUUGUCAGGGAAGAAACGGUCUACUCUAAUACAGUGGGCUAAUGACGGUACCUGAAGAAUAAGCACCGGCUAACUACGUGCCAGCAGCCGCGGUAAUACGUAGGGUGCAAGCGUUAAUCGGAAUUACUGGGCGUAAAGCGUGCGCAGGCGGUUAUAUAAGUCAGAUGUGAAAUCCCCGGGCUCAACCUGGGAACUGCAUUUGAGACUGUAUGGCUAGAGUGUGUCAGAGGGGGGUAGAAUUCCACGUGUAGCAGUGAAAUGCGUAGAUAUGUGGAGGAAUACCGAUGGCGAAGGCAGCCCCCUGGGAUAACACUGACGCUCAUGCACGAAAGCGUGGGGAGCAAACAGGAUUAGAUACCCUGGUAGUCCACGCCCUAAGCGACGUCUACUAGUUGUCGGGACUUAAUUGUCUUGGUAACGCAGCUAACGCGUGAAGUAGACCGCCUGGGGAAGUACGGUCGCAAAGAUUAAAACUUCAAAUUGAAUUGACGG
rnacentral:rRNA from 1 species